rnacentral:rRNA from 1 species
GACGAACGCUGGCGGCGUGAUUAACACAUGCAAGUCGAGCGGAAAGGCCCCUUCGGGGGUACUCGAGCGGCGAACGGGUGAGUAACACGUGAGUAACCUGCCCCGCACUUGGGGAUAACCGCCGGAAACGGUGGCUAAUACCGCACAGGACUCCCGGCCGCCUGGCGGGGGGUGGAAAGUACUUCGGUGGGGGAUGGGCGCGGGGCCUAGCAGCGGGUUGGUGGGGGGAUGGCCUACAAAGGCGAUGACGGGUAGCCGGCCUGAGAGGGCGACCGGCCACACUGGGACUGAGACACGGCCCAGACUCGUACGGGAGGCAGCAGUGGGGAAUAUUGCGCAAUGGGCGAAAGCCUGACGCAGCGACGCCGCGUGAGGGAUGACGGCCUUCGGGUUGUAAACCUCUUUCAGCAGGGACGAAGCGGUAGUGACGGUACCUGCAGAAGAAUCACCGGCCAACUACGUGCCAGCAGCCGCGGUAAGAC